GACGAACGCUGGCGGCGUGCUUAACACAUGCAAGUCGAACGAAGUGGCGAACGGGUGAGUAACGCGUAAUCAACCUGCCCUUCAGAGGGGGAUAACAGUUGGAACCGACUGCUAAUACCGCAUACUGAAGGAGGGGAUUGCGUCGGAUUAGCUAGUUGGAGGGGUAACGGCCCACCAAGGCGAUGAUCAGUAGCCGGUCUUGGGAGGUGAACGGCCACAUCGGGACUGAGGAACGGCCCAGACUCCUACGGGAGGCAGCAGUGGGGAAUCUUCCGACAUGGACGAAAGGCUGGCGGAGCAACGCCGCGGGGGUGAUGACUGGCUUCGGGGUGUAAAGCUCUGUUAAUCGGGACGCGGUACCGGAAUAGAAAGCCACGGCUAACUACGUGCCAGCAGCCGCGGUAAUUC
rnacentral:rRNA from 1 species